UUAACUGGUGUGAAUUGCAGAAUCCCGUGAACCAUCGAGUCUUUGAACGCAAGUUGCGCCCGAAGCCACUAGGCUGAGGGCACGUCUGCCUGGGUGUCA
rnacentral:rRNA from 1 species